rnacentral:rRNA from 1 species
GCGCCUUGCCAGCCCGCUCAGAAACUCAAAGGAAUUGACGGGGGCCCGCACAAGCGGAGGAGCAUGUGGUUUAAUUCGAUGAUACGCGAGGAACCUUACCUGGGCUCGAACGUAAGAUGACUGUAGGUGAAAGCUUACAUCUCUUCGGAGCGUUUUACGAGGUGCUGCAUGGUUGUCGUCAGCUCGUGCCGUGAGGUGUCGGGUUAAGUCCCAUAACGAGCGCAACCCCUACCUUUAGUUGCCAUCAGGUUAAGCUGGGGACUCUAAAGGAACUGCCUACGCAAGUAGUGAGGAAGCGGGGAUGACGUCAAAUCAGCACGGCCCUUACGUCCAGGGCUACACACGUGCUACAAUGGCCGAUACAGAGGGCAGCUACCUGGUGACAGGAUGCAAAUCUCCAAAGUCGGUCUCAGUUCGGAUCGGAGUCUGCAACCCGACUCCGUGAAGUUGGAUUCGCUAGUAAUCGCGCAUCAGCCAUGGCGCGGUGAAUACGUUCCCGGGCCUU